rnacentral:tRNA from 1 species
GGGGAUUUGGCUCAGUGGUAGAGCGCUUGCCUGGCAAGCACAAGGCCCUGGGUUCGGUCCCCAGCUCUU